rnacentral:tRNA from 1 species
GGAGACGUGGCCGAAGGGUAAGGCAUCGGCUUUGAACACCGAGGUCCCUGAACGGGGUGUGGGUUCGAGUCCCGCCGUCUCCGCCA